UACGUAGGCAGCGAGCGUUGUUCGGAGUUACUGGGCGUAAAGGGUGUGUAGGCGGUCUUUUAAGUUUGGUGUGGAAUCUCCCGGCUCAACCGGGAGGGUGCGCCGAAUACUGAGGGACUAGAGUAUGGGAUGGGAAAGUGGAAUUCCUGGUGUAGCGGUGAAAUGCGUAGAUAUCAGGAGGAACACCUGUGGUGUAGACGGCUUUCUGGACCAUAACUGACGCUGAGACACGAAAGCGUGGGUAGCAAACAGG
rnacentral:rRNA from 1 species